rnacentral:rRNA from 1 species
CCUACGGGGGGCAGCAGUGGGGAAUCUUGCGCAAUGGGCGAAAGCCUGACGCAGCCAUGCCGCGUGAAUGAUGAAGGUCUUAGGAUUGUAAAAUUCUUUCACCGGGGACGAUAAUGACGGUACCCGGAGAAGAAGCCCCGGCUAACUUCGUGCCAGCAGCCGCGGUAAUACGAAGGGGGCUAGCGUUGCUCGGAAUUACUGGGCGUAAAGCGAGCGUAGGCGGACAUUUAAGUCAGGGGUGAAAUCCCGGGGCUCAACCUCGGAAUUGCCUUUGAUACUGGGUGUCUUGAGUGUGAGAGAGGUAUGUGGAAUUCCGAGUGUAGAGGUGAAAUUCGUAGAUAUUCGGAAGAACACCAGUGGCGAAGGCGACAUACUGGCUCAUUACUGACGCUGAGGCUCGAAAGCGUGGGGAGCAAACAGGAUUAGAUACCCUAGUAGUCC